rnacentral:rRNA from 1 species
GCUGGUUUCCAUAGAGGAGGGGGUACACCCGGCUCCAUUCCGAACCCGGAAGUUAAGCCCUCCAUCGCCGAUGAUACUGCAUAUUCAUGUGUGGGAAAGUAGGUCGAGACCAGCU